UACGAAGGGUGCAAGCGUUAAUCGGAAUUACUGGGCGUAAAGCGUGCGCAGGCGGCGGCUCAAGUCAGGUGUGAAAUCCCCGGGCUUAACCUGGGAAUUGCGCUUGAAACUAGGUCGCUAGAGUGUGGCAGAGGGGGGUGGAAUUCCACGUGUAGCAGUGAAAUGCGUAGAGAUGUGGAGGAACACCGAUGGCGAAGGCAGCCCCCUGGGUCAACACUGACGCUGAGGAGCGAAAGCGUGGGGAGCGAACAGG
rnacentral:rRNA from 1 species